rnacentral:rRNA from 1 species
AGUCAAGGCCAUACCAACCUGGCUAUGCCCGAUCUCGUCUGAUCUCGGAAGCUAAGCAGGUUUGGGCCUGGUUAGUACUUGGAUGGGAGACCGCCUGGGAAUACCAGGUGCUGUAAGCU